rnacentral:lncRNA from 1 species
AAACGAUAGCAGCAAUGUUAAAUUAAACAUAACAAAUUCGAAUUAACUGUACAAUUGUUCGUAGAUUUAUUCGUCAAGUACUUUUAAUAAUCCAGUGACAAGAUGUUUGUUAGCUUGUUAAUAGUUUUUGUUUUGGUUUGCAGGCAGCAAGUUGGAGGUGUACCAGGUAAGUGAUAGUAUUUUGCUCUUUCAUUCGUCAUUUGAGUUAAAAGAUGUAUUUUUUUACAUUGUCCUUGUGAAACUACCGAAUAAAAUGAUAACAGAUUUUGUUAAAUGUCUGAUAAGAUGCUAAACAAGACAAACGAGCUUUUAAAUAUUGGAUAUACUUAAACUAGCUCACAUACUCUGACUUGUCGCUUUUCCAGUAGCUCACUCAGUACUUCGGUAAUACCAUGAAAAUAUGACUAUAGUUUUAUCGAAAUUGUCAUUUUGAAUUAAAGAAUGUAUCCCCCUCACGCAAAGCUCUGAUUCCCUGGCCGUGUCUGGCUAUACUGUUGGUCCUUUUUGAUUUUAUCAGCUCUUGGAUUUUUGUGUUCGGUUUGUAUUUACAAAUAUAUUUGCCUCGAGCAUCACUUAAGGGACAUUACUACUAAUUGUCGAGAUGCGCAUUUGGUGCAGUAAAAUUGGACCUGUUAACGUUAAUUCAAUUUUAUCAAAUAUUGAAAAGAUUGUAUCAUACACUUAUGAGUAUUUGUACCAUAUACGUCAGACAAGAACUUGUUGUUCACGUUUAUUUAUUUAGUUGUGUUGAAGAGUUUGAAGGAAGUCACUUUUCAGAGUAUAAAAUUUGACAGUCUGUAUUGAUCAUUAAUAUGAACUGAUUAAUAACAGAUAUCUGAUAUUGAUUUAAUACCAUAUUUCUUACAAAUCAAGAUUUACUAUACCAAUAUAAAUUUCGAUCGAAAUAACAACAUGGUAAUUAAGUACAGAUAUAACGCUUAGUGCGUAAAGCUAACAAGGUCAUUAACUUAAUAAUGCCUGAACGACAUAUGGAUUACAUAAAAAAAUUUGUUGCAUAUUUUUAUACGACCGCAAUUUUUUUUUUUUUGUAUCAGAACUAUUUAGAAUUAUUUUUACAUAAAAUAAAUUCGUAAAACAUGAUAUUUUGAUUAAAAAUUUAACUUUCAACUAAGUGAAAUAUGUUGCAAAGUAGCGUCGCCCUAGUAAAAAUUAAUGAUACAUACGUACAAAUACAAGACCAUUUUAAUAGAUAGAUCGAUUUGUAAAUAUUUGGUUAACUUGAAACCCGGUAAAAAGACUAUAUCUGAUUUGGUCCAUCGUUGUCAAUUGUAAGAUUUGCUUUUUUGUCGGAAGUAACAAAUUUAAAGAUUUAUUUAUGACUUAGAAUUUAGAUUACUUCAGCAGGUAUAUUCAUUAAGAAAAAGCCACGUUUAUAUUCUGAGUAAUUAAAAUAAUCUAAUGAAUGCUUAUUCAUACAAACAGACGAAAUUCCUACAAGUGUUUGUGUCCGACUGUGCAUGGAUGAAUAUUCACCAGGUAAGAUCUUUUGUCUUAUAAAAUGCAGUUGACGGCCUUAUGAUAUGCAAAAUUACAUGCUUUAUUUUAGAUUGUUUUUUUUUUUAAAUAGAUAGGUAAUUGUAAUAACAUGGACAGUUAGUCAUAGAAUAACUAUUCCAGGAAUUCAAAUAUUUUUUUUUUUUAAAUGACUAACAAAUAUCAGUUUCCGAAUGUGCAUUUUAUUUUUAUAACAUGGACAGUUAUUACUCAAUUUAUUUCACUUGACUGUCUGGGCGGAGUUUAACUUGUUCGCUCAUCAUAGACAAGUCCAUCUAUAGACAGGAGUUUUAGGAUAAACUCAUAAAUGAAGUGUCCAGUUAUGGUCAUUGAUCCGUAAUAUAUGUUAACACUUAGUAUAUGUGUAUUCGCAAAAUAAAUAAUGAGAAACAACCGUUAAUUUUCUUGUACAGCAAAGUUUAAAAACAUGUAACAUUUGUCACAUUUUGGAAUUUGAGAACUUGAAAGUAAAACCAUAACGUCCUUAUGCAAAUUGAAACGUAAGCUCCGCCCGAUCAGUUGAAAUAACAUUAGGAAUAGUUUUAGAAUAACUAUUCCAGGAAUUCAAAUAUUAAAAAAAAAAAUCCUAAUAAAAAAAUGACAAAUCAAAUUAUCCUGAUUUAGAGUUAUUUCUCGCAAUUUGAUUGGCUAAUAUUGUCCUUAUAAAUUUCAGUACAAUUUUUUAUUACGUCAAUAGGAAUUAUCUCCCUUAUUUAUUACGUCAAUUGGAAUUAUCUCCUUUAUACCAUUGACCUAAUAAAAAAAAAAUAAAAAAAGAGUUGCUUUAUAGUUCUAAUAUUUAAAAAUUUUUCACAGUUUUAGAUUAAAUAUCUAAAAUAUAUUUGGUUGAUAUUGUACUAAUAUUGAAUUUGAUUAUAAUAAUAUGUAAUAUAACAAAAUCAGGAUAAAUUCGUUACACAGUGUUCAAUUGUCCUAAUACGGAAUUUAUCGGGUCAAUAAAAUUCAUAUCGGGUUUGGCUUCUUUGGUUAUUGACAAAUCUGUAUUAUUUUCCUAUGUGUAAGAGGACACGAGCUAAUGAGAUGUGUGCAUUAAAACAGGAUUAAGUUAAGAUAUCGGAAACUAUCUUCACUAUUAAGGUUGAAACCAAAUAACGAAAACGUAAAAUUGUUGAAACUGAGAUGACGCAAUAAAACCAACAUAAAAUCAAUACUGUAAAAUUGAGAAAGGAAAUGGGGAAUGUGUCAAAGCGACAACAACCCGACCAUAGAGCAGACAACAGCCGAAGGCCACCAAUGGGUCUUCAAUGUAGCGAGAAUUCCCGCACCCGUGUUUACAUGUGUUUACAUGUAGUGAUUUGUUUAAAUCAUGAUCUAACGGGUUAUGAAGAUAUUUUUGACACUUUUUGCUGUUUAUUUUUAUCAUUAAAUAUAUGUUUCAAAAAGGCAUUUACAUUGCCAUAUUGCAUGCAAUUAAAACACAUGCAUAUAUUAUAAUUUAACAUACACUACUCUUAAUGAUCUUAUUGACCAAAUGGUUAUGGAUAUACACAUAAAACCUGGGUUAUUUAGCACUCAUAUUCAAUUAUGUUAUUAAUUGAACAUUUACCAAAAGAAAUGUUGAACGGAUUAUAUAUCACAAUGAUAAAUAUUUUAGCUAAAUUAAACCUGAGUACCAAUGUUAUUUUACGCAAACGAACAGAAAACUUUCACUUAACGAAUAAGAGUAGUCGUGAGGUGAUGAUCAUGAAUUUAUGGGGUAUUUUUUUAAACUAUACACUGGCAAAUUUACAAUAAAACAAUACGAUUGGCAUAUGUAACGGUUAGUUAAAAUGUAUAAAGAAUUCAAUAAAACAUUUUGAACUUAAUCACCAAUACAUUAAUUCUGUUCAAUAUAUUUUUAAGUUUUGCACUAAGUGCCAUUUUUACCUGUUACUUACUUUUACAGGACCCGAAAUGGCUAACUGCAUUAAAAACUGUGAUAGUGAGUUCAAUAUUUUGUUAUAUAUCUGAUGAAUAUAGAAAACUUUAACUCCUGCUUGACAUAUAGCAAUAACGUAGGGACAAAUACAUGUAUAUUAUCAUUAAUUAAUACUCUUCAAAUGUAAUUGGCUUAUAAUUUGGUACCACUGACGCAUGUUUCGCCUAUAUGAGAUUCAUCAGUUGCGUUCAAAUAGUUAGACGGCUAAAUCAAUGCAACGCAUGUUUCGCCUAUAUGAGAUUUGUCAGUGGCGUUCGAAUAGUUAGACGGCCAAAUCAAUGCAACGCAUGUUUCUUCUAUGUGAGAUUCAUCAGUGGCGUUCGAAUAGUUAGACGGCCAAAUCAAUGCAACGCAUGUUUCGCCUAUGUGAGAUUCAUCAGUGGCGUUCGAAUAGUUAGACGGCCAAAUCAAUGCAAACACCAUUCAAAAGCAAAAAUUUAAAACGUUUUGACAAAUAUGUCUUAUGCAAUAUAUGCUUUGGGCAAACUUACCUUGGAUUUCCAAUAAUUCAACAUUUUCUGAUGAUACUACAUGUCAGCUUGCUGAAUACUUUGUGGAAGUCGUUAUGUUCUAAUUAUUGCUGCCUCCUUAAAGAUGAAGUAUCAUUUCUACAUGAACUUCCUGAGAUACCUCUCAGGGUGAAGCUUUAAUUGCAUUUUUGUAAACCAGUCAGUCACCGAGAACUAUCAGCAAAUAUAUAUAAUUCGUUUUUAUUCAUUUGUUAUUUCUGCAAAAUGAAUUUCUGCAAAAUGAAUUUCUGACAUGAUAACGAAACACUUUAAAAAAAGUUAUUCUCAGGGGGGAAAUCAUAUGUUAUCUGACUUUUCUUAUUUCUUCGUUUUUUUCAUCUUUAUUAAAGAGGUGUCACUGAAAGGCUGUGUGGGGUACUGCAAAGAAUAUGGUUUUACUGGUUAGUCAUAACAAUUUAAGAUAGUUUAAGUUUUAAGUACACUCAUGUACCUUUUAAUCUUGUAACGACUGUCUAAACUGAAUAUCUCACCGUUUUGCUAUUUAUGUUUAUUAGUUUAUGAGAUCGAUUAUACACCCCUUUAAAAAUAGCAUCUCCCUGAUGUCGUUUACAGUUUUGAAAAAUCAUUCACAGAUGAGUCUAGGAGUUUGAAAAAUAGGUAAAUUUAGGGGUAAAGGUAAACAAAUCUAUAUAGAUUUAAAGUGUUAAGAAGAUUGGAAAUAAAACUGACAAAAAGAAGGUAUUUUUGUAUAUAUGCAGAUGCUAAAAUUCAUUUCAAGAUACAGUUGAUUUAAAAUAUGGAUUUCUGUAUACAAAUAAGUAAUCUAUUGUAUUUAUUGCAGGUAAGAAACUUGGGGAAUGCCUUGAGUACUGUACAUGUAAGUUUUAUUUUAACUAUUGAAGAUGAGAACAAGGAUUAUUAUUCUGCAUUUGGGUUCAUAGUUUUAAGUAUUUCAGGAAGUAAAUAUACAAAAUGCAUUUACCAACUAUAGAACCUCUUUAAGUAUUGUUAAAAUUACUAGUUUCGUGUGCACAAUUAACAUAAAUAUGCGGACUGUUACAGUUGGUAAAACAUAUAGUCAUCUAUUACAGUACAUUCCCAUGAUUUCAUUGCACACACGCACACACACAUAUUUGUUUUGAUUCGAGCGUCACUGAUGCGUCUUUUGUAGACAAAACAGUAUCUAUGAUGAGUUUAAUUAUACACACAGACAUUACCUACUGAAUUUCACAAAUUGUUCUUAUAUUGUGCGGUUAUAGACUGUCCAAUGCAGGGGGAGAUUUUAGCAAUCACAAACAUGCUUGUCUCGCCACAUUUGGCUGUCCACAGUGAGGAACCUGUAUUUCAUCGGUUUUGUUGGUAGCUGUCUGUCUUAUUUGCUUUUGUGUAUUGUUUUGUCCUAGAUAAGGCCGUUGGUUUUUUCGUUUGAGAGUGUUCAACAGUUUAUCAUGGUGGGAACUUUAAUAGCUGACUAUACGGUAUGGGUUUUUAUCAUUGUGUAAGGCCGCACGUUGAUCUAUGUUUGCUUAAAUCUGUUUCAUUUUGACUCUGCUGGAUAGGUGUCUCAAUGGCGAAUUUGGCAAACAUACCACAUCUUCUAUUUCUAUCUUAAUAAGUUUGUGUACAAAAACUUACCACUCCCAUUAUAAUCUCUAACGAUUUUGUCAGAUACAUACAAUGUACGUGAUGUCAGAAUACCAGUUAUUAAAAUAAGAAUUUGUUUUCUGUCUAAUUUAACUCAUAUUGUAGAUAAUGUGGUAAUGCUUAUUUCAUUUGCUCUGUUUAAAUAUAUGGACAUUGUGAAUAAACAUCAGAUAUUUUAAACGUAGUUGUUCUGCAGAUUGACAGUGGUGCUUUGAAACAACGGAUAUGUUAGGCACCUUCUUCCCACUAGCCGAUAGUUUCAAUUCAAUUCAAAACACAAAGAUUUAAUCAUUCAUUAUUCUCUGACUACAAAACAAAGAUUAUUCUAAGAAUUACUUAGUUGAGAUUUAAAAAAUGUUCUUAUUUCAUUGGUCUGUACGAAUUGUUAUGUACUUGAUUUUAUUUUUUCAUUGAUAGAAAUUUUUAAUUUUUAUAAUUUCAGACAACGGCGUCGGUAAAUGAAGACGAAGUGACACCAGUAGAUCUAGAAGUCAAAUAUGAAACGAACCUUUCUAGUUUGCCACAUAUUCUUGCAAUAAAAAAUUGAUCCCAACUAA